GGGAUUCGCGCGGUACUUUGGGAUUUGUAGUUUCUGGCCGACUCUGAAUCCCAAGGUGCCCUGCGGCGGGUCGUCGCGUCUGCGCAGUGCAGGCGGCGGGCCGCGCAGAGUGAGAGGCUCUUUUGUUCGGCUGAGGGGAGGGCCGUUGGCGGGGCCUCCGGUACGCCGCUUCAGCGGAACGAUCGAUUCGAGGCCACUCGGCUGUUUGCUCCUCUGGGCGCUACUCCCUCGGACCGCCCGACGCAGCGCGCGAGUAGCGCGGCACCGAUUCCUCUCGGACUCUCGGGCGCUGCUACGAGCAGUGUCACCCUUCACACCAGAAAGCUGGCGGGUACUAUGGGGAAAAAA